rnacentral:rRNA from 1 species
UACGUAGGGGGCAAGCGUUGUCCGGAUUUAUUGGGCGUAAAGAGCUCGUAGGCGGUCUGUCGCGUCUGCUGUGAAAACUCGGGGCUUAACCCCGGGCCUGCAGUGGGUACGGGCAGACUAGAGUGCGGUAGGGGAGACUGGAAUUCCUGGUGUAGCGGUGGAAUGCGCAGAUAUCAGGAGGAACACCGAUGGCGAAGGCAGAUCUCUGGGCCGUAACUGACGCUGAGGAGCGAAAGCGUGGGGAGCGAACAGG